rnacentral:rRNA from 1 species
AAACGUAGGGGGCAAGCGUUGUUCGGAAUUAUUGGGCGUAAAGCGCGUGUAGGCGGUUGUUUAAGUCUGAUGUGAAAGCCCUGGGCUCAACCUGGGAAGUGCAUUGGAAACUGGACAACUUGAGUACGGGGGAGGGUAGUGGAAUUCCGAGUGUAGAGGUGAAAUUCGUAGAUAUUCGGAAGAACACCAGUGGCGAAGGCGGCUCACUGGACAGGUAUUGACGCUGAGGUGCGAAAGCGUGGGGAGC